rnacentral:rRNA from 1 species
GAUGAACGCUGGCGGCGUGCCUAAUACAUGCAAGUCGAGCGAAUGGAUUAAGAGCUUGCUCUUAUGAAGUUAGCGGCGGACGGGUGAGUAACACGUGGGUAACCUGCCCAUAAGACUGGGAUAACUCCGGGAAACCGGGGCUAAUACCGGAUAACAUUUUGAACCGCAUGGUUCGAAAUUGAAAGGCGGCUUCGGCUGUCACUUAUGGAUGGACCCGCGUCGCAUUAGCUAGUUGGUGAGGUAACGGCUCACCAAGGCAACGAUGCGUAGCCGACCUGAGAGGGUGAUCGGCCACACGGGGACUGAGACACGGCCCAGACUCCUACGGGAGGCAGCAGUAGGGAAUCUUCCGCAAUGGACGAAAGUCUGACGGAGCAACGCCGCGUGAGUGAUGAAGGCUUUCGGGUCGUAAAACUCUGUUGUUAGGGAAGAACAAGUGCUAGUUGAAUAAGCUGGCACCUUGACGGUACCUAUCCAGAAAGCCACGGCUAACUACGUGCCAGCAGCCGCCGUAA